rnacentral:rRNA from 1 species
UAGGGAAUCUUCCACAAUGGACGCAAGUCUGAUGGAGCAACGCCGCGUGAGUGAAGAAGGCUUUCGGGUCGUAAAACUCUGUUGUUGGAGAAGAAUGGUCGGCAGAGUAACUGUUGUCGGCGUGACGGUAUCCAACCAGAAAGCCACGGCUAACUACGUGCCAGCAGCCGCGGUAAUACGUAGGUGGCAAGCGUUAUCCGGAUUUAUUGGGCGUAAAGCGAGCGCAGGCGGUUUUUUAAGUCUGAUGUGAAAGCCCUCGGCUUAACCGAGGAAGCGCAUCGGAAACUGGGAAACUUGAGUGCAGAAGAGGACAGUGGAACUCCAUGUGUAGCGGUGAAAUGCGUAGAUAUAUGGAAGAACACCAGUGGCGAAGGCGGCUGUCUGGUCUGUAACUGACGCUGAGGCUCGAAAGCAUGGGUAGCGAACAGGAUUAGAUACCCUGGUAGUCCAUGCCGUAAACGAUGAAUGCUAGGUGUUGGAGGGUUUCCGCCCUUGCAGUG